CCUACGGGUGACAGCAGUGAGGAAUAUUGGUCAAUGGCCGGAAGGCUGAACCAGCCAUGCCGCGUGAAGGUCAGUGCCCUAUGGGCGUUAAACUUCUUUUGUGCGGGAGCAAUAAUGGUCACGUGUGGCCAGACGAGAGUACCGUACGAAUAAGCAUCGGCUAACUCCGUGCCAGCAGCCGCGGUAAUACGGGGGAUGCAAGCGUUAUCCGGAUUUAUUGGGUUUAAAGGGUGCGUAGGCUGUGAGGUAAGUCAGCGGUGAAAUGCCCCCGCUCAACGGGGUGAAGUGCCAUUGAUUCUGCCUGGCUGGAAUGCGGAUGCGGUGGGAGGAAUGUGUGGUGUAGCGGUGAAAUGCAUAGAUAUCACACAGAACACCGAUUGCGAAGGCAUCUCACGAAUCCGCGAUUGACGCUGAUGCACGAAAGCGUGGGUAUCAAACAGGAUUAGAUACCCUUGUAGUC
rnacentral:rRNA from 1 species